rnacentral:lncRNA from 1 species
UCUUCAUGUACAAGUUGUUGUACCAAUUUACAGCUGCAAUUUCUUCACCGUUCUUCCUUGUACCUUUGAAAGUCUUUUUUUUUUCUUUCUAUCAUGGCAUCAGAGCUUAUUUCUUAGGGGAAUCGAAUCAAAUCUUGUUGCUUGACUCAUCUUAUUUCUGGAUUUUUCGUGGAUAUAUUUGCUGGGGUCCUCGGAUUUUCACCGGCGAGAAUCAUCACAUUUUUGGGACGUCAAG